AGAUUGAACGCUGGCGGCGUGCCUAACACAUGCAAGUCGAGCGGUAACAGGUGUAGCAAUACAUGCUGACGAGCGGCGAACGGGUGAGUAAUGCUUUGGAAUCUUCCCAGUAGUGGGGAAUAACCAGUCGAAAGAUUGGCUAAUACCGCAUACGUCUGUAAAGGGAAAGCGGGGGCUCGUAAGACCUCGCGCUAUUGGAUGAGCCAAAGUCGGAUUAGCUAGUUGGUGGGGUAAAGGCCUACCAAGGCGACAAUCCGUAGCUGGUCUGAGAGGACGACCAGCCACACCGGAACUGAGACACGGUCCGGACUCCUACGGGAGGCAGCAGUGGGGAAUAUUGGACAAUGGGGGAAACCCUGAUCCAGCGACGCCGCGUGUGUGAAGAAGGCCUGCGGGUUGUAAAGCACUUUUAGUGGGGACAAAAGCUACGGACUAAUAUUCUGUGGUCUUGAUUUAACCCAAGAAAAGCACCGGCUAACUCUGUGCCAGCAGCCGCGGU
rnacentral:rRNA from 1 species